rnacentral:rRNA from 1 species
UGGGGGAUAUUGCACAAUGGGCGAAAGCCUGAUGCAGCGACGCCGCGUGGGGGAUGAAGGCCUUCGGGUUGUAAACUUCUUUUGCUCUGAACAAGGCGCACCAUGGGGUGUGUUGAGUGUAGGGGUUGAUUAGCGCCGGCUAACUACGUGCCAGCAGCCGCGGUAAUACGUAGGGCGCGAGCGUUGUCCGGAAUUAUUGGGCGUAAAGGGCUUGUAGGUGGCUGGUUGCGUCUGUCGUGAAAGCUCAUGGCUUAACUGUGGGUUUGCGGUGGGUACGGACUGGCUUCAGUGCAGUAGGGGAGGCUGGAAUGCCUGGUGUAGCGGUGGAAUGCGCAGAUAUCAGGAGGAAUACCGGUGGCGAAGGCGGGUCUCUGGGCUGUUACUGACACUGAGGAGCGAAAGCAUGGGGAGCGAACAGG